AUCCCUCAAAUCUCAGACCCUCCUCGAAAUCUCUAAUUGGGGUAAAGAAUUCCUGCUGUUUCCCCCUUUUUCCGUUUGGGAUUUCUGGGUUGUGGCUGGGUUUUUGGUCGAUUUCCAUCCCUUUGGGCGCGGCCUAUCUUCAGAUCUCUGCAGAAUCAAUCUUAUAUAGCUAAGAAACUCCAGACUUAGAGAGAGCAGUUGCAGUAGCUGUGACUACUAUUUGUUUCUCUCUUGAAAAAGAUCAUUAUCAAAGCAAUUUAUAUAAGCUACAAAGUGCUUUUGCUGAAAUUGAAAAAAAAAAGAUUAUUGGCACAACAAUUUAUAUAAGCUACAGUGCUUUUGCUCAAAUUGGAAAGAAAAAAAAAAGUGUUUGGGUGCCCCUCUCAAUGUAGCAACACGAAAAAUUAUCUUCAGUAGCUGUUUAUUGAUCCCAAAUUCUUUAGUCUAAUAAAUUGCAAUUAUCUUCUUUUAUGUAUUUAUAAACAUGCAUGAUCAAGGCUACUAAAGUUGCAAGAAUUUCUGGGGCACCACUUAGUAUGGGGGUGGAGUCAAUCGACUUGAAUUGACUAGAGGUUUGACAAAGAUAUAAGCAAAGUGAAAAGUUUCGACUGUGGAUUCCAUGAGCAUUUUGAAAGUAGUAUGCUUUUCCAUAUGUGCUUUUUCUCUGAUUGUGUUCUAACUGAUCAUUGCAGUUGAAAGAUUUGACGGUUAAGUUACUAACAAAGCAAAGACUGAGCCAUGGUGAGACACAAGCUUUCGGCCACCUCGCCCUGCUGAUACCUAGUAGCUUGAUGUAUUAAACCUAGUUCACUUUUAGUUUUUUUCUUUUUUGUUUGGAUCUUGUAUGUACAUUUUCAUAUAUUUUAUAAUUAAAUACUUUUGCUUGGUUAA